rnacentral:rRNA from 1 species
AACGAACGCUGGCGGCAUGCCUAACACAUGCAAGUCGAACGAGACCUUCGGGUCUAGUGGCGCACGGGUGCGUAACGCGUGGGAACCUGCCCUUAGGUUCGGAAUAACUCCCCGUAAGGGGUGCUAAUACCGGAUAAUGUCUUCGGACCAAAGAUUUAUCGCCUUUGGAUGGGCCCGCGUUGGAUUAGCUGGUUGGUAGGGUAAAAGCCUGGCAAGGCGACGAUCCAUAGCUGGUCUGGGAGGAUGCCCCACCACGAUGGGGAUGAGGCCCGGACCAGUACGCUAGGGGGAGGUGGAGAAGGGAAUAUUGGACAAUGGGGGAAAGCCUGAUACAGCAAUGCCGGGUGAGAGAUGAAGGCCUUAGGGUUGUAAAGCUCUUUUACCCGGGAUGAUAAUGACAGUACCGGGAGAAUAAGCUCCGGCUAACUCCGUG